AAGUCGUAACAAGGUUUCCGUAGGUGAACCUGCGGAAGGAUCAUUAAAAGAAUCUGCCUCACCCACAGAUAUCUUAUCACGUGUGAACUGUCUAGCUUGUCACCCGAGAUGGACACCUCAGAGAUCUCGGUCUUUGGGGGGUCUGUCUUGGGGGUCAGCUUAUGCUACUGAUCGUGCCCCGAGAAUCUUUAAAAGACUAUAAAACUUUUAGCAAUGGAUCUCUAGGCUCCU
rnacentral:misc_RNA from 1 species